rnacentral:tRNA from 1 species
GGAUAUAGCUCAGUUGGUUAGAGUAUCAGGUUGUGGCCCUGAGGGUCAUGGGUUCGAAUCCCAUUAUC